UACGUAGGGGGCAAGCGUUGUCCGGAAUCAUUGGGCGUAAAGAGCGCGUAGGCGGCCCGACAAGUCCGCUGUGAAAGUCGGGGGCUCAACCCUCGAAAGCCGGUGGAUACUGUCGGACUAGAGUGCGGAAGAGGCGAGUGGAAUUCCUGGUGUAGCGGUGAAAUGCGCAGAUAUCAGGAGGAACACCAAUUGCGAAGGCAGCUCGCUGGGACGUUACUGACGCUGAGACGCGAAAGCGUGGGGAGCAAACAGG
rnacentral:rRNA from 1 species